rfam:Coccomyxa subellipsoidea C-169, whole genome shotgun sequence.
CUCCGUAUGGUCUAGGUGGUUAGGACAUCAGGCUUUCACCCUGGUAUCCCGGGUUCGAGUCCCGGUACGGAGG